GAUGAACGCUGGCGGCGUGCCUAAUACAUGCAAGUCGAGCGAACAGACGAGGAGCUUGCUCCUCUGACGUUAGCGGCGGACGGGUGAGUAACACGUGGAUAACCUACCUAUAAGACUGGGAUAACUUCGGGAAACCGGAGCUAAUACCGGAUAAUAUAUUGAACCGCAUGGUUCAAUAGUGAAAGACGGUUUUGCUGUCACUUAUAGAUGGAUCCGCGCCGCAUUAGCUAGUUGGUAAGGUAACGGCUUACCAAGGCAACGAUGCGUAGCCGACCUGAGAGGGUGAUCGGCCACACUGGAACUGAGACACGGUCCAGACACCUACGGGAGGCAGCAGUAGGGAAUCUUCCGCAAUGGGCGAAAGCCUGACGGAGCAACGCCGCGUGAGUGAUGAAGGUCUUCGGAUCGUAAAACUCUGUUAUUAGGGAAGAACAAAUGUGUAAGUAACUAUGCACGUCUUGACGGUACCUAAUCAGAAAGGCACGGCUAACUACGUG
rnacentral:rRNA from 1 species